rnacentral:rRNA from 1 species
GACGAACGCUGGCGGCGUGCUUAACACAUGCAAGUCGAACGGUGAAGCGCCUUCCUUUUUGGUGGGUGUGGAUGAGUGGCGAACGGGUGAGUAACACGUGAGUAACCUGCCCCCUUCUUCUGGAUAACCGCAUGAAAGUGUGGCUAAUACGGGAUAUUCUGGGUCUGUCGCAUGAUGGGUCUGGGAAAGAUAUUGUUUCGGUGGGGGAUGGGCUCGCGGCCUAUCAGCUUGUUGGUGGGGUGAUGGCCUACCAAGGCGGUGACGGGUAGACGGCCUGAGAGGGUGGACGGUCACACUGGGACUGAGACACGGCCCAGACUCCUACGGGGGGCAGCAGUGGAGAAUAGUGCACAGUGGGCGCAAGCCUGAUGCAGCGACGCCGCGUGAGGGAUGGAGGCCUUCGGGUUGUGAACCUCUUUCGCCAGUGAAGCAGGCCUGCCUCGUUUGUGGGUGGGUUGACGGUAGCUGGAUAAGAAGCGCCGGCUAACUACGUG